CCCUGAUUUUUUAUAUAUUAUUAUUGGGCUUCGUGUAGGUAUCCUCAAUUCGCGGAAAUUCGACAGUUGUCCGGAUCUGUGAAUUUCCGGCCAGACAGACCAGCUACCGGAAAAGUCUCCGAAUUGGAUCGAGGUUUUGGCUACCCUACCAUUGUCAGGCAUCCCGAGCACGUUCCCGAAGUCGGAAUCGGCAAAGGUGAGCCGGGACAGCCUUCUUCCUCCGCCCAGCCGCCACAGUGAUUGUCGUCAAGUCUGCUACAGGAGGAUUUUAUUUUGGUUAACCUGCUUUUCUCCUUCGCAGGUUGUUUAUCAAUAUUUGUGUAAUUUUAUUUACUCCUAGAAUUUCCGCAUGUGUUAGAAGUAUUUAUUUGAUUAUGGUCUGUAAUAUUAUUAUCA